GGUCAAGUUAUUAAGGGUGCAGGGCGGAUGCCUUGGCACUAGGAGCCGAUGAAGGACGUGAUAAGCUGCGAUAAGCUUCGGGGAGUUGCACGUAAACUUUGAUCCGAAGAUUUCCGAAUGAGGAAACUCACUUAGAGUAAUGUCUAAGUAUCAUUAAGUGAAUACAUAGCUUAAUGAGGGGAACUCAGGGAACUGAAACAUCUAAGUACCUGAAGGAAGAGAAAGAAAUUCGAUUCCGUAAGUAGCGGCGAGCGAACGCGGAUUAGCCCAAACCAAUAAAGUUUUCUUUAUUGGGGUUGCGGACAUAUCAUAACGAAGAGGUAUCGUAAUUGAAGAGGUUUGGAAAGACCCACC
rnacentral:rRNA from 1 species